GACGAACGCUGGCGGCGUGCCUAACACAUGCAAGUCAACUUGACUGAAGGAGCAAUCUGACAGUAGAGUGGCGCAAGGGUGCGUAACGCGUAAGUAACUUGCCCAAGGUAAGGAAUAACGUCGAGAAAUCGGCGCUAAUACCUCAUAAUGCAGCGGAUCCGCAUGGAUAUGUUGUUAAAGGUUUACCGCCUUGGGAUAGGCUUGCGUCUGAUUAGCUAGUUGGUGUGGUAGCGGCACACCAAGGCUACGAUCAGUAACUGGUCUGAGAGGAUGAUCAGUCACACUGGAACUGAGACACGGUCCAGACUCCUACGGGAGGCAGCAGUGAGGAAUAUUGGGCAAUGCUCGAAAGAAGUGACCCA
rnacentral:rRNA from 1 species